rnacentral:rRNA from 1 species
AACGAACGCUGGCGGCAGGCCUAACACAUGCAAGUCGAGCGCCCCGCAAGGGGAGCGGCGGACGGGUGAGUAACGCGUGGGAAUAUGCCCUUUGCUACGGAAUAGUCUCGGGAAACUGGGGGUAAUACCGUAUACGCCCUUUGGGGGAAAGAUUUAUCGGCGAAGGGUUAGCCCGCGUUGGAUUAGGUAGUUGGUGGGGUAAUGGCCUACCAAGCCGACGAUCCAUAGCUGGUUUGAGAGGAUGAUCAGCCACACUGGGACUGAGACACGGCCCAGACUCCUACGGGAGGCAGCAGUGGGGAAUCUUAGACAAUGGGGGCAACCCUGAUCUAGCCAUGCCGCGUGAGUGAUGAAGGCCUUAGGGUUGUAAAGCUCUUUCAGCUGGGAAGAUAAUGACGGUACCAGCAGAAGAAGCCCCGGCUAACUCCGUG